rnacentral:snoRNA from 1 species
CGGAGACAAAGUUUACGUGCUAAGGACAAGAUCUUUUUCGUGUCUACAAUGCGCCAAGA